rnacentral:rRNA from 1 species
UACGUAGGGGGCUAGCGUUGUCCGGAUUUAUUGGGCGUAAAGAGCGUGUAGGCGGCCAGGUAGGUCUGGUGUGAAAACUCGAGGCUUAACCUCGAGAUGUCAUCGGAAACCAUCUGGCUAGAGUCCGGAAGAGGAGAGUGGAAUUCCUGGUGUAGCGGUGAAAUGCGCAGAUAUCAGGAAGAACACCCGUGGCGAAGGCGGCUCUCUGGGACGGUACUGACGCUGAGACGCGAAAGCGUGGGGAGCGAACAGG